GUCAUGAACGACAAAGAAAAAUGGAAAGACAGAAAAAAGAACGAAAGGAGCUUGCAGUUUUUAACACUGGAAUGAACUGAUUGGACUGAUCAUAUCGAUGAUUGGCCUCAGGAGAUCCCAUGAAGCAGAAGCAGAGAGAAUGUACAGACAAAGACGAGAAGGGAUGGAGGACACCAGAAAACAAGACAUCCUGAACCACCAUGAUCUAUGCAAACAUGAAUUCACAGAGACUGCAGCAGCAGGCACAGAGCCUGCACUCGUCUGCACCAGAUGCUGAAAAAAAGAAAGUGGACACACGCUUCCAUCACUAACCCAGAAGUCUGUUUUAGCCUCUGAAAAUUUCAAAUUCCAACCACAAAAGGCACAAGCCUGUCUAUUCUGUGAAUGCUUUCAAGUCUGUGGAAGAGAGAGGACGUGAUGAAAUUCUCUUCAUUAAUUCUAAGCAAUGAUUGGAAGGCUUUUACUGGAGGAAAUGAAGAUUACACCAAUAAAGAGGUAAAACAGUCAACAAGAACCAGUGCUUAAAAAUAAGUUCAGGUUUUUAAUCAUUAAAAAGAUUUACCUUUGAAAGAAUAAAGCAGUCGAGAUUGUGGGUAGCUACCUUAUGGAAGCUUUUCAAAACCACAGUGUCUAUUCACUGGAUUUUUCCAGUAAAGCUAAUUAGCCCAAACUGUAGCUGCGUGUUGCUUUAGCUGUCUUCAACUUGAGUUUUAUUAUUUAUUUUUUUGUAAAUACAUUUAAAAGCUAAUUACAAUUCACCUGAGGCUCAGGCAUAAUACCUAUGCAGAGCCAUCCCAUAGAAUUAUUUUCUCACACACCCAAAAUUUUUAAAAGAAAGAAUGUCAGAGGAAAUAUUAUUUUGUAGACUCAGGGGUUGGGAUAUGUAACCUAUUUUAACUCUUCAGUAGACAGGAAGGUGUAGCAAGCUCUGGCUGGAAUUGAGUGCUCUGAGCUUCUACUAAGAGGAUGGGGGUGUAGGGCUUGCUUCCAGAUGUUUUGAAGUACCCUCUGCCCUGCGCUCAUCAGUAGCUCUAACACAGUGUGUAAUGUAGCUGGCUGGUAAGCUGAAGAUGGCCUGUUUGUGCUUACAGAUUUGCAGAGGAGACACAACCACUGAAAAUGAUGCUUCUAACUGUCUGGGGAGGUAGUGCUACUGGGAAGUUCCUUGGUCUUCUGAAAGCUAUUUUAAGUUUAAUGAUCUUUUCUCUUAUAUAGAAGCGGUGUGCCCAGGUAAGUAUGAACAUUCACAGAGAUCUGUCUGCUUUCUAGAAGAGGCCAAAGCUCAUUUCAUUUGUGUCCCGGUGAGGACAGAAUAAUCUUACUUGCUGCAAAUUAAUGCUUGGUACCAGAAUCAAGGGAUGAGGAAGUUUAGAAGACAGGCUUUGUAUCCGUCCUAUUGUCAGGAAACCAAUAAGCAAGCCCCAGAACCCAAUACACAGUGAGAAACGAUGAUGGAUAUGAAAAGCUUACUGCCCAUGAGAUAGAUGCCCAUUACUACAUUGUAACAAGGCAGUGUAGGACAAGGAUUUACUGUUGAGAAGCUCUGCCUUGUAUAAGCACAGACUAUUUCAUACAGUUAACUUUCUCCAAGGGGGAGUUUUACAAAACCAGGCUGUAUUUAUCAGCUCUAUCUCUUUCUGCCCUGCAGGCCUCACCCUAUAAGAGGGUAUGUGGGUAAACUCAGGCUGGGAGACUGCUUGGCUAUGGGAGGACCACCCGAACUGUUUAGCCUGUGACCACUGCAGAGUCGCCCGCAAGAGCAAAUAGGAGGAGGGCGAGUGGGACACACGACUUUGGUUUGGUUUUGUGACCAGUCCAUUCAUCUUUACCAAGGUGGGAUAUUAAAAAAAUGUGUCUAUUAGAAAAGUAGUUAAGAAAUUUUGAAAAGGUAAAAUCGUUGUUUUCUUCCUUCUCAUAAAUGAAACGUUGUCACUCUUUCACAAACACCCACACAAGGAAAAUGGUGAAGGAGAAACGCUUACAAGACACAGAAAACAAAGAGAAUGAAUAUGGAUCAAACACCGUAGGAGAAUUUCAGAUGGGGAGUCUGAGAGUCUAAAUAAACUGUAAAGCUUUAGGUACCCCAGAAGCCUUUGGGUAAGGAAUCUAAAGGGUGCUUUUAUUUCCUUUCUAAUGCUGUAUGCCACUAUUUCUAAAGAAGUUUCUCACUACCCUCCGAUGGGACAAUUUAAAAAUCGUUUUACACUAGGCCGUAUGGGGACAAAGGAUAUUUAUUCAGUCAAAUAAUUUCUCCAUUAAAAUGUAUCUUGAGCUGAAUUUUUGACUUCACAAAGAUGUUCAUUAUAUGAAUCCGUUUUUUUUUAAUGAUACAAACACCUCAAAGUUUGCUUAAAUAUUUUAGGCUGUAAAAGCGACAGUGUCUUACUAACUUAAAAAUUCAUUGUGACAGAGUUGUGAGGGCUCUGGACUGGAGGAAUGUCAAACACACGUGCUGAUGUGGUGCUCCUUUAAGUCUCACGGAGCACUCCAUACACAGCAGUACCGACUGCUGAGAAACAAGCUUUGCCAGCAAGUGACAACCUUCGUUCUUGCCCCCAUAGGUCUGAGCAGUGGGAACACAAAUCGCUGACACCACAUCUACUGACAGCAACGCCACAACAUAAAUUACCCCGAGAAAAUGCUGCUUUGCCUGGGCGGGGGCACAACAGAGGGAACUAAGCUAGAUAAAAAGCCACCGUGCCGCUGCCCAGGCUCCAGCCCCGUCCCGCUGACCACUGAUAAAAUUUAUCACUGGGCCACAUACGGGAAGGCAGCUGAAAGAGAAGUCGCCUGUGGUAAAACGUGUAACAGCAAAACAGCUAAUAGAGCAUUGCUACUUUAUUGGAAAACAGUAUCUGACGCUUUGCUCUUCCAGCUCCAGGGUGGGAACUGGCUCCUGGACCUGUAGAAUAGUAACGUGCAUCCCUAAGAGCUCACCGUGCAGCUCCUCCAUCCAGUGUCCCGAACCACAGAGAGGCGUGGUUACCCAGCCCGGUAAAACUCAAUCUGAAUCUUCGUCCUAGUACAGAGUUUGCUGGGACACAAAGCCAACCAGGAAUUUUGUAAAGAACAGUCCUGUACAUCUUCAGAUUAAUUAUUUUUGUCAUGAUUCUGGUCGGGCUUAUUUGAAAAUAAAAAUACUUGAGUUGUACAAAUGAAUUCUCACUCACAUGACAAUUAGAUUCUUUGUUCUUGAGUUAGGAUUGCUCAUUGUUUCAGAUUUGGAAGUUGGGAAAGUUUACACUGGCUUUGAAGUCACCAUUUAGAAUGGCUUUAAAAUAAACGUGGUCAGGAUAUCAGAGGAGUUUACUCUUUUUUAUCCCCUCCGCUGCCUGUAUCCCAUACCUAAGACACCUAUCGAUACACACGCAGGGUACAAUGGCACACGACACUCUCCAUCACCAUGGACCCGAGUGAUGCCCAUUUCUGCGUGUGCACUGAGGAGGAUACUUUGGGCAGACUACCUUCAGCUGAUGCCAGGAGUGUAUAUUAAAGGAGGUUACUUCACGCUGAAUGUGAGAACGAUGUUAGGAGAUUGGAAUUUUAACUUCCUGCUAUCAACUUCAGUCUCAGAAUUCCAUAAAAACCUCUUAUGUCCAAGCCCAUUCUGUUGACACACUGAUAUUUACCCGGUCUCAAAGCUACUUACGUACCUCGUCUUUUUUUUACCCGUUAUGUUUAAUGUUUUCUACGUGUAAUCUGAGGAGUCACUUUGUUUGCUAAAUAUACCUUGUUCAUGUCAUAAAGAAUGUAAUUUAAAUAACUAAUUCUUCAGACUGUGGUAAAUCAGAAUACCACUGUCUAUCCACUGCCUAGAAUAUGCUAGGAAUUAUUUAGGGAGUUUCUAUAAGUUAGCUAAUGUGUAACCUUACAAAUCCUUUGAAAAUGGCUCUUAGUUUAUUUGAUGAAGAUGAUGUUUCAAUUUACAUGUAGCUGGUCAACACCUUCAUUGGAAUACACUACUAUGAAUUGCAUAUGAAGAUGACUGUUAUUUUUCAAGAUUUCAAACUUAUGGAAAGCACAAAAAGCCUUUGAUUUUGACCUCCACUGACAGAAUGGACUCAUAUGGAAACGAUGUUGAGCUGUGGAAUGCAUGCUUUCUUUCAUGACUAACAAAGGGAUGUUCAAAAGUCAUUAACCCUUUCCUAUGCUGUAUGCUUCUAAUAUAAACACAGUGAUUUAACAGUGAAAGAAAAGCAGCGGGCCAGUUGUGUUUAUGGGUUCCUUAAAUGUUUGAAGAAACUUCUUAUAAAAGGAUCAAAAAUGAAGAGAAAGAAAGGAAGGAAAAAAAUUGCACAUUUCUGUUAAAACACAGGGCCAAGUCACCAGAGUCCCCUUCAGUCUCUGGCAUUGAUUUUGCUACUGUAGUCAAGAGUACAAUGCAAUUGAAAAAUAGUUUCUUUAUAUAAAUUGACAAAGCAACCCAAGGAAGAAAAAGAAAAAUAGGUAAUGAAUCUGCAGAGAAUGCCUAUUAUGAUAGAGUCAGCAUCAGCUGACUCCGGAGCCCUGAUCAAUGUGCUUGCCCGUGUCUCUGAGAGUCUCUGUUUCGAAAAUGGAAGAGGAAACGGAUGAUGGAACACUUAGCUGCUGUGAACCAAAGCAGAUUAUUAAUCGUCUAUAAGGAGCGAGCAAUGUAGACUUUGGGCUGCCUACUUUCUGAUUGCGAGGCUCAUUUUUAGGAAAAGAGAGUCACACAUUAUAAGAAGUAAAACCAAUUUAUAGUCUUGACCAAAAGGGUCUGAUAGGUAAGAUUGAUGGUUAUUGCCGAAGGCGCUGAGAGGGGAUUGCUCUUUCACUCACAGGAAAGGCAAAUGAAGGCCAGGGGCCAGCAGAUCUGACAGCCAAGUCCUGUCUCUCCGAAGCUAACGUCUAAACAGGGUUUUCCCUCUCCCUUCAUUCACAUGUUCAUGCUUUUACAUCCUUCAGUUUCUUGUUUGAAUACUCAUUAUUUUAAUAUUUGAGCCAGAAGAGAAAAUGGCAGAGGACAGAAUGGACAUGCGUGUUCAGGGGGGACCUUGAAUAAGCAGCAAAAUGCUCCUGGUAAUCCUUUUUACUGAGCCCCUAAUUAACCCUCUGGAAUCAGGGAUGGGAUAAACCCUCAUUCUUCAUGGGUCCUACUAGUAGAUGCACAUUGGAUGACUGCAGUGGAAUGUAGCUAAAGGAUUUAGGGAAAGAUAUUACUUGGACACACUAGCAAGUUUUUUGCAUCUAAGGCCAAUAGAAAGAAGAGCAGAAAUGAUAGUGCUGUAAAAAAAACACAGGCUUAUAAGUAUUAGGAAUAUAAGCACAGACAGGAUGCAAGUAUUUACAGUUUAGUUUUUAUGAACAUUAUAAUAAUAUGAUCUAUUCCUUUAACUCUUUUACUUAAGAAUAUCCAGGUAAUAACAAAUUCUGGAAAUAAAAAUAAAGAAAAAUGUCCUCCUCACUUACCCCUCCCCUAACAUUUUUAAUAUUCUGAGAAUAUACUGACCCAUUAUUACUUGGAGGUUUGCCUCUUAUUGAGAAACUUGAAACAUCUGAUGUAAGCACAGAGAGUCAGACCAGAGAGGCCUCUUGUUCUUCUUUAAUUUGGGAAAGAUAACCUUUGAAAAUCAGAUACCCAGUGCUAAAAUGAGGCCUGCAGCCCAGCAUAGGUCCUCAUCUGUCUCUUGGCAGUAUAAGGAACUACAACCUUGGUCUGAGGUAACAAGACAGACUUCACAGAGUUGAGAGGUUUGGAAUGCUUCCCUUAAGGAAUCUCAGCGUUGUCCCGGAACAAUGUAACCUCAUUUUGACAUGACCAAUGUACUUAUCAGAAGUAUCAGAAUAUUGGAAACAAAUUUAUUUUUUCUAAAAAAAUUAACUCAAAUGAGUAUGAUUAUGACUUCUGUGGUUAAAACCAAGUCCUUGUAUUUCCUAGUUCCUUGUCAGUUGUAUACAGGCUCCCUUAAACUAUUCUUUAUCUAAAAGGAAAAUAGCAUGUCUUUGGCUAGUAACCUGAUGAUAAAGUACAUGGUGCUGUCACUGGGAAUUUUGGUUAUGGAAAAAAAGGGAAAUUGUGGCUUAAGAAAAAUAUUGAGACAACCAAAACAAGAAUUUGUAUUUUCCUUUGAAAGUAAGACUUGCAAAAUUUUAAGUUUUUGCUGGGUCAGAAAGUGAACUCAGGAGUUUACACGCAUUAGUUGUCCAAACCCCAAUUCUGCACUUAAAUGAAGAGGCUGAAAGUGGACCUCCAAAUUGGUAAUUGGAUUGAGAGUGGCAGCCUAACUAAUGUGUUCUAAACAUCUUCAAAUUACGUUUAUCAUGAUUUAAAUUUUUAUUGUAGUGUUUACUCUAUUUCAGAGAUCAUUCUGUUAAAUGAUUUUCAAAUAGAUAUCUAGACAGUCUUAUCCUGUUAUUUACACAUGGUAGUAUGACACAUCAUGAAUAUAACACCUACUUUAAUCUAAUCUUAGCAUGCUAUCAAGUACUAGUAGGAAUGACUAUGACUACCCACUAUUUCCCAAGUACUGGAAAAGGAAAAAUCAUGGGUGAUUCCUUUUUUAUACCAUAUUAUCUAGAAAUGGUUUACAGAUGUUCUAGAAACCCAACUUAAUAGACAAUUUAUUAUUUAACUACCUUCUCGUAUUGGAGCAGAGUGUCAACGUAUCAAGGCUUUAUAAAAGCAUUUCUGAGUGUGUGAUGUUCUAAACUGAGAUAUGUGAUAAAAAUUUCCUAAAGACAGUCGUAUUUGCUAUUCCAGUUACUACAUUGGAAAAACUGGGGGAAUCUAGUUGGAAUGAUUCUUGAAGUAUCUAUGAUCAGAGUUACAUUUCAAUUUUAGGCUUAUUAGGCCAAAAUAAAUACAACUGUUAUCUUGAAAACAGCAUGUUACUGUAAGGGUUUCCAUGUUGUCAUCAUGGCCACCUGAAUUCCACAGUGUAUUUUCAAGGAAGACACUCUGAGUCACUCAGUCCUCCUGGGAUAUGAUGUAUUUGUACAUACAGAUUGCACUUUAGAAGCAAAUCCUCUGCAGGCAAAGCUGACUGGAUUCUGAUAGAAUCCAAGAUACACUGCUAAAACGGGUUCUGCUUACUUCAUUUUUAAACAUUUACUU
rnacentral:sRNA from 1 species